UACUAACGCUGGCGGCGUGCUUAACACAUGCAAGUCGAACGGAAAGGCCCUGCUUUUGUGGGGUGCUCGAGUGACGAACGGGUGAGUAACACGUGAGUAACCUGCCCUUGACUUUGGGAUAACUUCAGGAAACUGGGGCUAAUACCGGAUAGGAGCUCCUGCUGCAUGGUGGGGGUUGGAAAGUUUCGGCGGUUGGGGAUGGACUCGCGGCUUAUCAGCUUGUUGGUGGGGUAGUGGCUUACCAAGGCUUUGACGGGUAGCCGGCCUGAGAGGGUGACCGGCCACAUUGGGACUGAGAUACGGCCCAGACUCCUACGGGAGGCAGCAGUGGGGAAUAUUGCACAAUGGGCGGAAGCCUGAUGCAGCAACGCCGCGUGCGGGAUGACGGCCUUCGGGUUGUAAACCGCUUUCGCCUGUGACGAAGCGUGAGUGACGGUAAUGGGUAAAGAAGCACCGGCUAACUACGUG
rnacentral:rRNA from 1 species